AAGUCGUAACAAGGUUUCCGGUGAACCUGCGGAAGGCAUUAACACGUAUCCAACGUUAAACAACCCUGUGAACUUCCAACGCUCUUGUAACCAGGCGAAACAGCAAUCCCGGUAAAUCAGUGGGCGGAAAAGUUUUGAUUCGGGACCUCUGUCCAAAAGUUACAAUCGAGCUAGGAGCAGUUUCCCUAAGCAGUGCAGAAGGAUCCACUGAGUAAGGGUCGAUCACCGGCCGGCAGACAUGUCACAGGGCUUCAUUCACACCUUGCUCUCUCAUGCCCGCCGGAAACGCCGGGCACAAAAACCGAACAACUGUUAACAAUGGAUAUCUUGGUUCUC
rnacentral:misc_RNA from 1 species